ACUCCACGCUCUCUCCCCUUCUCUCCCGUAGAACGAACAUCAGGAGACAAGUUUUAUUUCAAUGUCAGAGGUAAAAAGGGGCAGAAAGAUGGAGGAUCAGGAAGAAGCGAAGCCAGUAGUUAGAGUGGCAGCCAUAUCUGGGUCUCUUCAUAAACAUUCCAACCACCGAGGCCUCAUUCGUGCCGCAAUCCAACUAUGCGAGGACUCGAUCGACAGCAUGCAAAUUGAGCACAUAGAGAUCGAGCAGCUACCGAUGCUAAAUACAGAUCUUGAAGACAAGGGAACUUACCCACCAGUG